rnacentral:rRNA from 1 species
UCCUACGGGAGGCAGCAGUGAGGAAUAUUGGUCAAUGGGCGCAAGCCUGAACCAGCCAUCCCGCGUGAAGGAUGACGGCCCUAUGGGUUGUAAACUUCUUUUAUGUACCAAGAAUGGUGGUUACGUGUAACCAUUUGACGGUAGUACAUGAACAAGCACCGGCUAACUCCGUGCCAGCAGCCGCGGUAAUACGGAGGGUGCAAGCGUUAUCCGGAUUCAUUGGGUUUAAAGGGUACGUAGGUGGCCUUGUAAGUCAGUGGUGAAAUCCUGCCGCUUAACGGUAGGACUGCCAUUGAUACUGCAGGGCUUGAGUAUAGUUGAGGUAGGCGGAAUGUGUAGUGUAGCGGUGAAAUGCUUAGAUAUUACACAGAACCCCGAUUGCGAAGGCAGCUUACUAAACUAUAACUGACACUGAUGUACGAAAGCGUGGGUAGCGAACAGGAUUAGAUACCCUGGUAGUCCACGCCGUAAACGAUGCUCACUCGCUGUAUGCGGUACACAGUAUGCGGCCAAGCGAAAGCAUUAAGUGAGCCACCUGGGGAGUACGCCGGCAACGGUGAAACUCAAAGGAAUUGACGGA